AUGGAACAAUCCAAAGUUUUAAUCAAAGAAGGUGGUGUUCAGUUGCUGCUUACAAUAGUUGAUACCCCAGGAUUUGGAGAUGCAGUGGAUAAUAGUAAUUGCUGGCAGCCUGCUAUCAAUUAUAUUGAUAGUAAAUUUGAGGACUACCUAAAUGCAGAAUCGCGAGUGAACAGAUGUCAGAUGCCUGGUAACAGGGUGCAGUGUUGUUUAUACUUCAUUGCUCCUUCAGGACAUGGGUGGCAGACAAGAAACAUGGAUUAUUGCGUGGAGUUCCAUUAGUAGGAAUAAGACUCAUUCUACAUUCUUGUUGUUCUUAGUGUUUUUUGUUUUUCAUGAGAAGGAAUUGUAUCAGCACAAGGCAAUAUUCUAACAUGACAAUGACAGCAGACAGAACCUCAAUAAACUCUGACUUGGUACUGCAAA
rnacentral:lncRNA from 1 species